AACUUUUGGCAAUGGAUCUCUUGGCUCUCGCAUCGAUGAAGAACGCAGCAAAAUGCGAUACGUAAUGUGAAUUGCAGAAUUCAGUGAAUCAUCGAAUCUUUGAACGCACCUUGCGCCCCUUGGCAUUCCGAGGGGCACACCUGUUUGAGUGUCGUGAAAUUCUCAAACCUUCUUGGUUUCUUGAUCAAGAUGGCUUUGGACUUUGGAGGCAUUUUGCUGGCUUUGCGACAAGCCAGCUCCUCUUAAAUACAUUAGUGGGAUCCCCUUUGCCGAUCCCCAGGCGUGAUAAGAUAUUUCUACGUCUUGGGAUUUGCUCUGUUCCUUGGGAACCCGCUUCCAACCGUCUCAUGGGAGACAUCGUUCGAGUUUGCUCGACCCACGAACCUUGACCUCAAAUCGGGUGAGACUACCCGCUGAACUUAAGCAUAUCAAUAAGCGGAGGCU
rnacentral:misc_RNA from 1 species